UUGUUUUUGUCAAGAAUGCCUCCUCGGCCGAGAAAACGUCCGUUCGAACAAAUAACGCAAGUUGCACUUUGCACCUGCAGCUUUGUGUCAAGUUCUUGCCACACGGCUUCGAGAGCUUUGCUUGUUACAAAGUGCGAAGCGGGAAGCACUCACUUGAUCGAAUAAUGUUUUUUGCGAACGCCGAGGUUUCAGCGAAUGACACUUCAGCGAAUAGUCGGCUGCCGCGAAGCGGCGUUUACGGCACGGCCACCAAAGACGGUGAAAAGCUCCACCGGUAUGCUGCGCGCGUCCACCAGCUAUGUCCUGGUGCCUCAACUGCCGAGGGCAUCUUGUCGUUCCUCGACACCGUCGACGAUAGGACGAACUCAGAGUUUUUCGCUCCUUGCACUGCAAAUGGCACCAAACUCUGCCACAUCGCAGACCAUCUCAGUGUCUGCAAUGAAUAUCUGCACUUGCUCGACAUGGAGCUGAAGGAAGACGAGCCCGGAGAAUUCGGCUUCUUUCCCCUGAAGGCGCACUACCCGAUAGGUGCCGACCAGGGUCCGUGCGUCAAAGGGUGGUCCCUGCUACACUGGCUACUUUGGGAGCACUGCUGCGUCAAAACCUUGGUCCUCCCCUGGUUGAUACACUCCAAGUUUCAGGGACUCUUGUCCGACGCAUUGCACCUCAACUCUGGGCUCAGGAAGCUGACAUUGCGUAACUGGCAGGCCAAACGAGCAUUCAAGGACGUCAUCUCCGCCAUCGGCACGCUUGCGCAACUGGAAGAGCUGGACAUGAAACUCGUUUACUUGCCGCCAAGUGCUCUGGGCUGCCUGGGAAAUGCCCUCCAGAGGAUUUCGAUGCUCAAGAUCCUCAGACUACCUUCCCUUGAAAUGGAUGUCGAUAAUGCAGUUCAUCUCAGUUGUGUCACGAAGUUUGUCAAAGCUUUGAAAGGUUGCCCGAAACUUGCGGUACUCUCCUCUGACAAUUUUGUCCUAGAGCCUGCAUCCGAUGAGAGCUUUGCAGAGUUUGUUGCGGAGAGCGGCUCUUUGACGAAGCUGACCUUGCGCCAUUCUCCUGGGUACUAUGGCCAGGAACUCAAACUCUUCACAGCACUGGGGAAGAACAACAACCUCGAAGAAGUAUGUCUUGAUGGGUUUAUGCUGUAUGAAGAAGCAGAGCGGUUGCUUGUGGAGGUGGCUGCGCAGCACACGGGCCUACGGUAUUUGGAAGUUGGGUUCUACGAUAGCUACAGGGAAUGGGAAAUCGAUGGAACUGCCCUGGCCGCCCUGGUGGGCCGCAACACGGGCCUCCGCGAACUGGUGUUUUCAGGCGGCACCGUUUACUGCAUCCCCGAAUUCGCAGAGGCUAUUCCCAAGAACACCACGAUGCAGAAGUUGACUCUCGGUCUGCUCGGCAUGGACGUCCCCGACUACAGAGUGUUCCUGCAAGCACUGGCUCUCAACAAGUCGCUUCAACUUGUUACUUUCAAGGAAAGUAUGUACGACCACUUUAACGACAUCGUCCUACUCAUGCGAGAGACGGGAACCGAAGGAAGGUUGACGAUUGACGCAGAUGUGGGCAACCCUCAAGAUUUCGAGAACGGUCUGAGAAACUCCACGAGCCUGACCAAAGUGGCUUACUCCAACAGGAGCGCAGCUUGUUUAACGCCGCCCAGUGCAUUUUGUCACCUGCUUCAUCACCAUUGCCUCCGAGAGCUUCGCAUCGGGUUGCAGUACCCGAUCGAAAUGGAGUCCGCGACUUCCCUCGCACUCCUUUUGUCGACCACAAGCAGCUUAAGGUGUGCCACGUUCGAGUUCCUCGCCACUGCAUCGUCAUCGCGGAUUCUCGUAGAGGGACUGGCGAGCAACACGAGCCUCACAGAUCUGAGCGUCAGCUUCUGGACUGUCGAAGCACCGGAGGCUGACCUGCUUUGGCGCAUGCUGAGGAGCAGCAGGACCUUGAAGACAUUGACCCUAGACCUCCUGGAUCUUCCGCAGAGCCGGGUGCUCGACCGCGUGCCAGACGGUCUGCUGCAGAAUCACUACAUUCUUAGGGCAGCCAUUCAACGGAACCCCACGCAGCAGAGUCGGGACAUGUACCAAUACGGCCUCCGUGGGCAGGUCCUGAAGAAGCUCAACAUGCUGAGCACGCCGACCUUCCAGUUUGGGGUCCAGGAGCUUCUGCGACGGAACCUGUCCACUCUGCAUCGCGCAGUGCAGUUUGUGACCGGGUCGCGAGGCAGGCGCUAUGCCGAAGCGUUCGAACGGGUGUCCAAGGGCUCCACCCUCGUGGAAACGCUGAAGAAAGCAGGCGCCGAACCAGAGGACGAGAUCAAGGGGAGGAUUGCGAGCAGCUCCCGCUACCUCGAUGAACACUUCCUGGUGGAAGCAGGCGUCGUCAGAGCCGCCGUGAUUUGUGGCGAGAGUAACAGAGUGCAGCUGGACCAGAUUGGCUUCGACAACUGGCUUUGCAUUCGACAGUACCUCAAGGUCACCGACAUCAUCGCAGUGCCUUUGGGAUUCCUGGCUGACCCCAGCUCUUCCGGAAGCUUGCAGGACUGAUCCGCGCUACAGAGCCCUCGAGCGACACUUACUGUUUUUAUGGUGCGAGGGGAGCACUGUGCGACUUUACAGCUUUCAAAUUCAUUCUUUAUUUUUAGCUGUCAUCUGAAAAGUUUGGCCAGCAUUUGUGACAGUGACUCUGUGCAAGCUGCAUGGUUGGGCCUGCAAAUCUGUUCUUGCAAGUUCACUCGACAUUCAUGGAGGGUGGUAAAUUCCUUGUUCAGGUGUCACAUCCAGCUCCAAAUCAGUACUUCUGGUCGGAGUUCCACCGACGUCCAGACGCCAAAGUUGAUAGAACGCCUGCGGAUUCACAUUGUUUUCAUCACUCCUGUUCCUGCCCAUCCAACUAUCGACCCGAUUCCUAAAAAUCGGAAAGGCCAAAGGAUUCGUCGUCGCAUGUGCCCGAGCAAUAAUCGCUUUAAAAAAAAAAAGGUUUUGUAUCUUUUUGUCAGCUAACCUCCGUGCCAAAGCCAUGUUGCUUAUCAUGAACGCUCGCAAGAGACUGCUUUUUCCUUUUUGGCUAAAUGCAGUGUUUUCUUUCUGUCAAACAGCAAAACAUACGAGGAAACUACCCAAGGUAAAUGGAGCAACAGGGGUGGUUUUGCCAUCUGUCGGAGAGCAUGCUAUACCAGCGCCAAAACUGAAACGCGAGUCACUCUCUUGGUCGGGCUUUACGGUCCGUAAUGGUUGGCACGAGUGACACUGGUUAUCACUAGGCAAGGGGCGGUGUAAGAAUUUUUAGAAUUUGGCCAAUUGAUUGUGGGAAUUAGUCUGUGCCACCUAUAGAAUGAAAUGGAAAUCACUUCUUUUCUCUGUAUGCGCUAGCUUUUAUUGAAAAAAAAAAUAAAACAAAGUCUAGGAUGCCCCCCAACUCUUGCUCCAUCUUUCGAGCAAAAUCGUGGGGGUGGGGGUAUGAGAUUUCCCUCUGGCUUUCGUCCUCAAUGACUUCUACAACUGUGGAUUUUUCAAGGUUCAGACGGGCUGCUGCAUCGGUCAAGGUAGCGGCGAGCAACCAAGACUAGACGGUUCGCCACGGAGUUGACAGGGUGCAGAGGGAAUGGUUUCGUCGACGACUGUUGGACGGUGCCACGACUGACGCACAUGGUGCCCAUGGCUGAAGUAGACAAUUUGUUAUAUCAAGUUCAAAUUCGUAGAUGCUGAAUGGACUGUGAAGCAGAACAGUGAACCACAAUCACGAAAAACGAAUGCAGCCCACACCCCGUGAAAACAAGCAGGAGUGCGGACCUUUCUACUCGUAUAAAAGUAGCUUUUCCUAAAGACUACUCGAAAGCCAUUCAACUUGUGAAAUGCUGUACAAACACCUGGAUGACUAAACACUGGAGUUGGCAUUUCGUGAAAAUUUGUGUCGAUAAGCCAUGUAGAUUUAGGUUGCCACCUAAGCUCAACUUCACGUGGCACCGGCUUUCUUCAGAGAGGUCGCAUGCUGUCUGACGGUCCGUUUCAAACAGAAGCGAAUCCAAGGAAGGGGAUUUUCUCUUCAUGCUUUUCCGAUGUUCAGAACUACAGAA